GGGUUAAGUUCCGCAACCGAGCGCAACCCUUUCCUUAGUUGCCAUCAGGUAAUGCUGGGGACUCUAAGGAUACUGCCCCGGUUAACGGGGAGGAAGGUGGGGAUGACGUCAAGUCAGUAUGUCCCUUACGUCCAGGGCUACACACGUGUUACAAUGGCCGGUACAAUGAGUUGCGACCCUGCAAAGGUAAGCCAAUCUCAAAAAACCGGUCUCAGUUCGGAUUGCAGUCUGCAACUCGACUGCAUGAAGUUGGAAUCGCUAGUAAUCGUAGAUCAGCACGCUACGGUGAAUACGUUCCCGGGCCUU
rnacentral:rRNA from 1 species